GGGAUAGCUUUACGGCUUCUGGGAGCUGCUGCUUCGCUGUGAGAAGUAUCCGCGACGAGCUAUCCGGGAAAGGGCCGAAUGCGAUCAAACCUAAUCCGCGAGACUUGCUAAGGUUCUGUGCUACAAAUUGAUGUUUAGAUAAACUUGAGUGAAAUGACUCUUCAGGAAUUGGUGCAUAAGGCUGCCUCCUGUUAUAUGGACAGAGUAGCUGUAUGUUUUGAUGAAUGCAACAACCAGCUUCCAGUUUACUACACCUACAAGACUGUGGUUAAUGCUGCUUCUGAAUUAUCAAAUUUUCUGCUGUUACACUGUGACUUUCAAGGAAUUCGGGAAAUUGGUCUCUACUGCCAACCUGGGAUAGACUUACCCUCUUGGAUUUUAGGAAUUCUCCAAGUCCCAGCUGCUUAUGUACCUAUCGAGCCAGAUUCACCACCGUCAUUAUCAACUCAUUUUAUGAAAAAAUGUAAUCUAAAGUAUAUCCUUGUUGAAAAAAAACAAAUUAAUGUAAGUCUGGAUGUUUCAAUUGUUUUUUGCCUGUAUUACAUUUAUUUCAAUUGAAACAUUCCUUCCUUCUCCCACCUGGAUUCCUAAGUCUGCUAAAUGUGGCAAGGUUUCUGAGUCUUUGCACUGUGACAUUUUUAGGGUUGAGUAAUUGUUGUGAGGAGUGUUCCGUAUAUUAUAGGAUAUUUGGCAAUAUCUUUGACCUCCACUCGCUAGACCUCAGUAGCACCUCCCAGUCAUAACAACCAAAAAUCUCCAGACAUUGCCAAUUGUCCCCCGGAGGGGCUCUCCACCCCUCACACUCCAUUGUGAGCCACUAUUCUGUGGUAUGAACAGAUCUGUUAGCCUUCUAAUAAUAUAUUAUGCAUUGUUUUGAAUUUCUCUUUCCAAAGUAUUUCCUAUACUGCAAAAUUUUAUAAUACUUGGAACUUUCAUAUUUAUGGCAAUUACAUUGGUCAGCAACACUGAAGAAUUAUAACUAAGCUUGCAUUUUGAAAAAGAGACUGGUACUUAGAAGAGAUCUUUCCAGAAAAGUAAAUUUAUUGUUUUUUUAUUUUUAAAUGAUUGCCAACCAAAGAUAUAACCAAGAAACUCUGUUUCUGGGGCAAGAAUUGGUGUUAUAUCUUCAGCAAGAUGCAGCCCAUGCUUCAUUGUUUAUUUAUUAUUUAUAAAAUAUUGUUUUACUAAAGGGGAAGAACAUUAUAAAAAUAUAUUCAAUUUA
rnacentral:sRNA from 1 species